CGGUGGACGGGUGAGUAACACGUGGAUAACCUACCUAUAAGACUGGGAUAACUUCGGGAAACCGGAGCUAAUACCGGAUAAUAUAUUGAACCGCAUGGUUCAAUAGUGAAAGACGGUUUUGCUGUCACUUAUAGAUGGAUCCGCGCCGCAUUAGCUAGUUGGUAAGGUAACGGCUUACCAAGGCAACGAUGCGUAGCCGACCUGAUAGGGUGAUCGGCCACACUGGAACUGAGACACGGUCCAG
rnacentral:rRNA from 1 species